rnacentral:siRNA from 1 species
UGAACUGGCCACACCAUAAUC